rnacentral:rRNA from 1 species
AUCCAGACUCCUACGGGAGGCAGCAGUGAGGAAUAUUGGUCAAUGGGCUUACGCCUGAACCAGCCAAGUCGCGUGAGGGAAGACUGCCCUAUGGGUUGUAAACCUCUUUUGUCAGGGAGCAAUUGGCGCUACGUGUAGCGUUAUCGAGAGUACCUGAAGAAAAAGCAUCGGCUAACUCCGUGCCAGCAGCCGCGGUAAUACGGAGGAUGCGAGCGUUAUCCGGAUUUAUUGGGUUUAAAGGGUGCGCAGGCGGGAGAUCAAGUCAGCGGUAAAAUGUCGGGGCUCAACCCCGGCCGGCCGUUGAAACUGGUUUUCUAGAGUUGGAGAGAAGUAUGCGGAAUUCGUGGUGUAGCGGUGAAAUGCAUAGAUAUCACGAAGAACUCCGAUUGCGAAGGCAGCAUACCGGCUCCAUACUGACGCUGAGGCACGAAAGCGUGGGGAGCAAACAGGAUUAGAUACCCCGUAUA